UUUUUGAACUUCAGUUUGUGUGGUGUUUUUGAACUUGAGUUUCUGUUGUUUUUGAACUUGAGGUUGUGGAAAUUGUUAAACCUGAGAAUCGGGUGUUGGUUGUACUUGAGUUUGUUUGUUUUUUUGAACUUGAGUUUGUGUCGUGUAUGAACUUGAGUUUGUGGUGUUUUUUGAAUUGAGGUUGUGGCGUGUUUGAACUUGAGUUUGUGUGUUUUUUGGUGUUUUUUGAACUCAAGGUUGUGGAAAUUGUUAAACUUGAGAAUUGGGUGUUGUAUGAACUUGAGUUUGUGGCGUGUUUCAAAAUGAGUUUGUGGCGUGUUUGAACUUGAGUUUGUGUUGUUUUUGAACUUGAGGUUGUGGCAAUUGUUAAACUUGAGAUUUGGGUGUUGGUUUAAUUUAAAAUUUUCACAUUUAUUGAACUUGAGUUUGUGGUUUUUUGUUGAACUUGAGGUUGUGGUUUUUUUGAACUUGAGUUUGUGUUUUUGUUGAACUUGAGUUUUUGGCAUGUUUGAAUUUGAGGUUGUUGCAAUUCUUAAACUUGAGUUUGUGGUGUUUGUUGAACUUGAGUUUGUAUCGUGUUUGAAAUUGAGUUUGUGGUGUUUUUGAACUUGAGUUUGUGUGUUUUUUGAACUUGAGUUUGUGGUGUUUUUGAACUUCAGUUUGUGGCACUUUUUUAACUUGAGUUUGUUGAACUUUAGUUUUUGGCAAUUGUUAAAUGUGAGUUUAGGUCAUUUGUUGAACUUGAAAUUUUGGAAUUUGUUGAACUUAAGAUUGUGGUGUUUGUUGAACUUGAGUUUGUGGCAAUUGUAUUGCCACAAACUUGAGUUUGUGUGUUUGUUGAACCUGAGUUUGUGUCUUGUUUGAACUUGAGAUUGCUGUUUUGUGAUCUUGAAUUUGUGUGGGUUUUUUUUAACUUGAGUUUUUGGUGUUUUUGAAUUUGAGUUUCUGUUGUUUUUGAACAUGAGGUUGUGGCAAUUGUUAAACGUGAGAAUUGGGUAUUGGUUAAACUUGAGUUUGUGUGUUUUUUGAACCUGAGUUUGUGUCGUGUUUGAACUUGAGAUUGUGCUGUUUUGUGAUCUUAAAUUUGUGUGGGUUUUUUUCACUUGAGUUUUUGGUGUUUUUGAAUUUGAGUUUCUGUUGUUUUUGAACAUGAGGUUGUGGCAAUUGUUAAACUUGAGAUUUGGGUGCUGGUUGAAAUUAAGUUUCGGCAUUUUUGAACUUGAGUUUGUGGUGUUUUUGAACUUGAAUUUGUGUGUUUUUUGAACCUGAGUUUUUUGCAAUUUUUGAACUUGAGUUUGUUGAACUUGAGUUUUUGGCAAUUGUUUAAUGUGAGUAUAGGUCAUUUGUUGAAUUUGAAAUGUUGGCCUUUUUUGAACUUAAGCUUGUGGUGUUUGUUGAACUCCAGUUUGUGGCAAUUGUUAACGUUGAGUCUGUAUUUUUCUCUGAACUUAAGUUGGUGGCAAUUGUUGAACUUGAAUUUGUGGUGUUUGUUGUACUUGAGUUUGUGGCGUGUUUGAACUUGAGUUUCUGUUGCUUUGAUCUUGAGGUUGUGGAAAUUGUUAAACUUGAGAUUUGGGAUUUGGUUGAACUUAAGUUUGUGUAUCGUGUUUAAACUUGAGUUUGUGGUUUUUUUGAUCUUGAGCUUGUGUGUUUUUUGAACUGAAGUUUGUGGCAACUGUUAAACUUGUGACUUGGGUGUUGGUUGAACUUGAGUUUGUGGUGUUUUUGAACUAGAUUUUCUGGUUAUUUUUGAACUUGAGUCUGUGUGUUUUUUGAACUUGAGUUUGUGGUGUGUCUGAACUUGAGUUUUUGUUUUUUUUUAACUGGAGGUUGUGGAAAUUGUUAAACUUGCGAAUUGGGCAUUGAGUGAACUUGAGUUCGUGUGUUGAACUUGAGUUUUUGUUGUUUAGAACUUGAGUUUGUGGUGUUUUUGAACUUGAGUUUGUGUGUUUGUUGAACUUGAGUUUUUGUGUGUUUGAACUUGAGUUUGUGUCGUGUUUGAACUUGAGUCUGUCGUGUUUCAACUUGAGUUUGUGUCGUGUUUGAACUUGAGUCUGUCGUGUUUCAACUUGAGUUUGUGUCGUGUUUAAACUUGAGUUUGUUGCAAUUUUUGAACUUGAGUUUUGAACUUGAGUCUUUGGUUUUUAGUGUCCUUAAGUUGGUGGAAAUAUUUAAACUUGAGUUUGUCGCGUGUUUGAACUUGAGUUUGUGUUGUUUUUUAACUUGAGGUUGUGGCAAUUGUUAAACUUGAGAUUUGGGUGUUGGUUGAACUUGAGUUUGUGUUGUGUUUGAACUUGAGUUUGUGGUGUUUUUGAACCUAAGUUUGUGUGUUUGUUGAACUUGAGUUUGUGGCGUGUUUGAAGUUGAGUUUGUGGUGUUUUUGAAGUUGAGGUUGUGGCAAUUGUUAAACUAGAGAUUUGGGUGUUGGUUGAAAUUCAGUUUGUGGCCUUAUUUGAACUUGAGUUUUUGUCGUGCUUGGACUUGAGUCUUUGGCGUGUUUUUGAACUUGAGGUUUUUGAAAUUGUUAAACUUGAGAAUUGGGUAUUGAUUGAACUUGAGUUCAUGUGUUUGUUGAACUUUAGUUUGUGUCGUCAAGAACUUGAGUUUGUGGUGUUUUUGAACUUGAGAAUGUGGAAAUUGUUAAACCUGAGAUUUGGGUAUUGGUUAAACUUGAGUUUGUGUGUUUGUUGAACCUGAGUUUGUGUCGUGUUUGAACUUGAGAUUGUGGUGUUUUUGAACUUGAAUUUUUGUGUUUUUUUUAACUUGAGUUUUCGGAGUUUUUUAAUUUGAGUUUCUGUUGUCUUUGAACUUGAAGUUUUUGCAAUUGUUAAAAUUGAGAUUUGGGUGUUGGUUGAAAUUCAGAUUCGGUGUUGUGGUGUUUUUGAACUUGAAUUUGUGUGUUUUUUGAACUUGAGCUUUUUGCAAUUUUUGAACUUGAGUUUGUUGAACUUGAGUUUGUGGCAAUUGUUAAAUGUGAGUAUAGGUCAUUUGUUGAAUUUGAAAUUUUGGCAUUUUUUGAACUGAAGAUUGUGGUGUUUGUUGAACUUGAGUUUGUGGCAAUUGUUGAACUUGAGUCUGUAUUGUUCCCUGAACUUGAGUUUGUGGCAAUUGUUGAACUUGAGUUUGUGGCGUUUGUUGUACUUGAGUUUGUGGCGUGUUUGAACUUGAGUUUCUGUUGUUUUUUGAACUUAAGGGUGGUAAAAUUGUUAAACUUGAGACUUGGGAUUUGGUUGAAUUUGAGUUUGUGUCGUGUUUUAAGUUGAGUUUGUGUCGUGUUUGAACUUGAGUUACUGUUGUUUUGUGUCCUGAGUUUGUGUCCUGUUCGAACUUGAGUUUUUUUGUUUGUCUAACUUGAGAUUGUGGCGUGUUUUAACUUGAAUUUUUGUUGUUUUUUAACUUGAGGUUUUGGCAAUUGUUAAUCUUUUUUGGGGUGUUGGUUGAACUUAAAACUUUGACAUAUGUUGAACUUGACUUUGUGGUGUUCAUUUAACUUGAGUUUGUGUCUUGUUUGAACUUGACUUUUUUGUGUUUUUGAACUUGAGUUUGUUUGUCUUGUUUGAACUUGAGUCUGGUGUUUUUGAUCUUUUUCUGUUUUCUGUUGCUUUUGAUCUUGAGGUUUUGGAAAUUGUUAAACUUGAGAUUUGGGAUUUGGUUGAACUUGAGUUUGUGUAUCUUGUUUGAACUUGAGUUUGUGGUGUUUUUGAUCUUGAGCUUGUGUGUUUUUUGAACUGAAGUUUGUGGCAAUUGUUAAACUUGUGACUUGGGUGUUGGUUGAACUUGAGUUUGUGGUGUGUCUGAACUAGAGUUUUUGUUUUUUUUAACUUGAGGUUGUAGAAAUUGUUAAACUUGCGAAUUGGGCAUUGGUUGAACUUGAGUUUGUGUGUUUGUUGAACUUGAGUUUUUGUCGUUAAGAACUUGAGAUUGUGGCGUGUUUGAACUUGAGUUUCUGUUGCUUUGAUCUUGAGGUUGUGGCAAUUGUUAAACUUGAGAUUUGGGUGUUGGUUGAACUUGAGUUUGUGGUGUUUUUUGAACUUGACUUUGUGUCGUGUUUGAAUUUGAGUUUGUGUGUUUUUUUAUCUUAAGUUUGUGGCAAUUUAUGAACUUGAGUUUGUUGAACUUGAGUUUGUGGUCUUUGUUCAACUUAAGUUUGUGGUUUUUAGUGAACUCUAGUUGGUGGCAUCUUUGAACUUGAGUUUGUGGCUUUUGUUGAACUUGAGUUUGUGAUGUGUUUGAACUUGAGUUUGUGGCGUGUUUGAACUUGAGUUUCUGUUGUCUUUGAACUUGAAGUUGUGGCAAUUGUUAAACUUGAGGUUUGGGUGUUGGUUGAUCUUGAGUUUGUGUCUUGUUUGAACUUUUGUUUUUGGAUUGUUUGAACUAGAGUUUGUGUGUGUUUUGAACUUAAGUUUGUGGCCACUUAUGAACUUGAGUAUGUUGAAAUUAAGUUUGUGGCAAAUGUUGCACUUGACUGUGUUUUUUUUUAACUUGAGUUUGUGUCGUGUUUGCAUUCUAGGUUGUGGUGUUUUUGAACUUGAGUUUGUGUGUUUGUUGAACUUGAAGUUGUGGCAAUUAUUGAACUUGAGUCUGUAUUUUUCUCUAAACUUUAGUUGGUGGCAAUUGUUGAACUUGAGUUUGUGGUGUUUUUGCACCUGAGUUUGUGUCGUGUUUGAACUUGAGUUUGUGUUGUGUUUGAACUUGAGGUUGUGGAAAUUGUUAAAUGUGAGAAUUGGGUAUUGGUUAAACUUGAGAUUGUGUGUUUGUUGAACCUGAGUUUGUGUGUUUUUUUAACUGAAGUUUUUGGUGUUUUUGAAUUUGAGUUGGGUUUUUUUUUAACUUGAGGUUGUGGCAAUUGUUGAACUUGAGAUUUGGGAUUUUGUUGAACUUGAGUUUGUGUCAUGUUUGAACUUCAGUUUGGGGUGUUUUUGAACUUGAGCUUGUGUGUUUUUUGAACUUAAAUUUGUGUUGUUAAGAACUUGAGUUUGUGGUGUUUUUGAACUUGAGUUUGUGUGUUUGUUGAACUUGGGUUUGUGGCGUGUUUGAACUUGAGUUUCUGUUUUUUUUUAACUUGAUUUUGUGGCAAUUGUUAAACUUGAUAUUUGGGUGUUGGUUGAACUUCAAACUUUGAAAUUUGUUGAACUUGAGUUUGUGGUGUUCGUUGAACUUCAGUUUCGGCAUUGUUUAACUUGAGUUUGUGUGUUUUUGAACUUGAGUUUGUUGAACUUGAGUUUUUGGCAAUUGUUAAAUGUGAGUUUAGGUCAUUUGUUGAACUUGAGAUUGUGGUGUUGGUUGAACUUGAGUUUGUGGCAAUUGUUGAACUUGAGUCUGUAUUUUUCACUGUACUUUAGUUUGUAGCGUUUGUUGUACUUGAGUUUGUGGCGUUUGUUGUACUUGAGUAUGUGUCUUGUUUGAACUUGAGUUUGUGGUGUUUUUGAACGUGAGUUGGGGUUUUUUUUAACUUGAGGUUGUGGCAAUUGUUAUACUUGAGUUUGUGUUUUAGUUGAACUUGAGUUUGUGUCAUGUUUGAACUUCAGUUUUUGUGUUUGUUGAACUUUAGUUUAUGUUGUGUUUGAACUUGAGUUUUUGUUGUAUUUGAAAUUGACUUUGUGUGUUUGUUGAACUUGAGUCUGUGUUGUGUUUGAACUUGAGUUUGUGGUGUUUUUGAAAUUCAGGUUAUGUUGUUUUUUGAACUUGAGUUUGUGGCGUAUUAAUACUUGAGUUUCUGUUGUUUUUGAACUUGAGGUUUUGGAUAUUGUCAAAUUUGAGUUUUGAGUGUUGGUUGAACUUGAGUUUAUGUCGUGUUUGAACUUGAGUUUGUGGUGUGUUUGAACUAGAGUUUGUGUGUUUUUUGAACUUGAGGUUGUGUCAAUUGUUUAACUUGAGAUUUGGGUGUUGGUUGAACUUGAGUUUGUGUUGUUUUUGAACUUGAGUUUGUGGCGUUUCUGAACUUGAGUUGGUGGUGUUUUUGAACUUGAGUUUCAUGUUUGAACUUGAUUUUGUGGUUUUUGUUGAACUUGAGUUUGUGUCGUGUUUGAACUUCAGUUUUCUGUCAAUUGUUGAACUUGAGUCUGGUUUUUUGUGAACUUUACUUGGUGGCAAUUGUUGAACUUGAGUUUUUGGUGUUUGUUGAACUUGAGUUUGUGUCAUGUUUGAACUUGAGUUUGUUGUGUGUUUGAACUUGAGUUGGUUUGUUUGAUGAACUUUAGGUUGUGGCAAUUGUUUAACUUGAGAUUUGAGUGUUGGUUCAACUUGAGUUUGUGGCGUGUUUGAAGUUGAGUUCUUGUUUGUUGAACUUCAUUUUGUGUGUUUUUUGAAAUUGAGGUUGUGAAAAUUUUUAAACUUGAGAAUCAGGUGUUGGUUGAAAUUGAGUUUGUGUCGUGUUUGAACUUGAGUUUGUGGUGUAUUUGAACUUGAGUUCGUGUGUUUGAUGAACUUGAGUUUGUGUGUUUGUUGAACUUGAGUUUGUGUGUUUGUUGAACUUGAGUUUGUGUUGUGUUUGAACUUGAGUUUUUGGUGUUUUUGAAUUUGAGUUUAUGUUGUUUUUGAACAUGAGGUUGUGGCAAUUGUUAAACGUGAGAAUUGGGUAUUGGUUAAACUUGAGUUUGUGUGUUUUUUUAACCUGAGUUUGUGUCGUGUUUGAACUUGAGAUUGUGCUGUUUUGUGAUCUUAAAUUUGUGUGGUUUUUUUUCACUUGAGUUUUUGGUGUUUUUGAAUUUGAGUUUCUGUUGUUUUUGAAAAUGAGGUUGUGGCAAUUGUUUUACUUUAGAUUUGGGUGUUGGUUGAAAUUAAGUUUCGGCAUUUUUGAACUUGAGUUUGUGGUGUUUUUGAACUUGAAUUUGUGUGUUUUUUGAACCUGAGUUUUUUGCAAUUUUUGAACUUGAGUUUGUUGAACUUGAGUGUUUGGCAAUUGUUUAAUGUGAGUAUAGGUCAUUUGUUGAAUUUGAAAUGUUGGCCUUUUUUUAACUUAAGCUUGUGGUGUUUGUUGAACUUGAGUUUGUGGCAAUUGUUAACGUUGAGUCUGUAUUUUUCUCUGAACUUUUGUUGGUGGCAAUUGUUGAACUUGAAUUUGUGGCGUUUGUUGUACUUGAGUUUGUGGCAUGUUUGAAUUUGAGUUUCUGUUGCUUUUGAUCUUGAAGUUGUGGAAAUUUUUAAACUUGAGAUUUGGGAUUGGUUGAACUUGAGUUUGUGUUGUGUUUGAACUUGAGGUUGUGGAAAUUGUUAAAUGUGAGAAUUGAGUAUUGGUUAAACUUGAGAUUGUGUGUUUGUUGAACCUGAGUUUGUGUGGUUUUUUAACUGAAGUUUUUGGUGUUUUUGAAUUUGAGUUUCUGUUGUUUUUGAAAAUGAGGUUGUGGCAAUUGUUUUACUUUAGAUUUGGGUGUUUGUUGAAAUUAAGUUUCGGCAUUUUUGAACUUGAGUUUGUGGUGUUUUUGAACUUGAAUUUGUGUGUUUUUUGAACCUGAGUUUUUUGCAAUUUUUGAACUUGAGUUUGUUGAACUUGAGUUUUUGGCAAUUGUUUAAUGUGAGUAUAGGUCAUUUGUUGAAUUUGAAAUGUUGGCCUUUUUUUAACUUAAGCUUGUGGUGUUUGUUGAACUUGAGUUUGUGGCAAUUGUUAACGUUGAGUCUGUAUUUUUCUCUGAACUUUUGUUGGUGGCAAUUGUUGAACUUGAAUUUGUGGCGUUUGAUGUACUUGAGUUUGUGGCAUGUUUGAAUUUGAGUUUCUAUUGCUUUUGAUCUUGAAGUUGUGAAAAUUUUUAAACUUGAGAUUUGGGAUUUGGUUGAACUUGAGUUUGUGUAUUGUGUUUGAACUUGAGUUUGUGGUGUUUUUGAUCUUGAGCUUGUGUGUUUUUUGAACUGAAGUUUGAGGCAAUUGUUAAACUUGAGAUUUUGGUGUUGGUUUAACCCGAGUUUGUGGUGUUUUUUAACUUGAGGUUGUGGCGUUUGUUGAACUUGAGUUUGUGGCGUGUUUUAACUUGAAUUUUUGUUGUUUUUUAACUUGAGGUUUUGGCAACUGUUAAACUUCAGAUUUGGGUGUUGGUUGAACUUAAAACUUUGACAUUUGUUGAGCUUGAGUUUGGGAUGUUCAUUUUACUUGAAUUUGUGUCUUGUUGGAACUUGACUUCGUGGUGUUUUUGAACUUGAUUUUGUGUAUUUUUUGAACUUGAGUCUUUGGUGUUUUUGAACUUUAGUUUGUGUUUUUUUAACUUAAGUUUGUGGUAAUUGUUAAACUUGAGAUUUGUGUGUUGGUUGAAUAUGAGUUUGUGGUGUUUUUGAACUUGAGUUUCUGUGUUUUUUUAACUUAGAUUUGUGGCAAUUGUUAAACUUGAGUUUGUGUCGUGUUUGAACUUGAGUUUUUUGUGUUUUUGAACUUGAGUUUGUGUGUUUGUUGAACUAGAGUUUGUGGUGUGUUUUAACUUGAGUUUCUGUUGUUUUUGAACUUGAGGUUGUGGAAAUUGUUGAACUUGAGAUUUGGGAUUUUGUUGAACUUGAGUUUGUGUCAUGUUUGAACUUCAGUUUGGGGUGUUUUUGAACUUGAGCUUGUGUGUUUUUUGAACUUAAAUUUGUGUUGUUAAGAACUUGAGUUUGUGGUGUUUUUGAACUUGAGUUUGUGUGUUUGUUGAACUUGGGUUUGUGGCGUGUUUGAACUUGAGUUUCUGUUUUUUUUUAACUUGAUUUUGUGGCAAUUGUUAAACUUGAUAUUUGGGUGUUGGUUGAACUUCAAACUUUGAAAUUUGUUGAACUUGAGUUUGUGGUGUUCGUUGAACUUCAGUUUCGGCAUUGUUUAACUUGAGUUUGUGUGUUUUUGAACUUGAGUUUGUUGAACUUGAGUUUUUGGCAAUUGUUAAAUGUGAGUUUAGGUCAUUUGUUGAACUUGAGAUUGUGGUGUUGGUUGAACUUGAGUUUGUGGCAAUUGUUGAACUUGAGUCUGUAUUUUUCACUGUACUUUAGUUUGUAGCGUUUGUUGUACUUGAGUUUGUGGCGUUUGUUGUACUUGAGUAUGUGUCUUGUUUGAACUUGAGUUUGUGGUGUUUUUGAACGUGAGUUGGGGUUUUUUUUAACUUGAGGUUGUGGCAAUUGUUAUACUUGAGUUUGUGUUUUAGUUGAACUUGAGUUUGUGUCAUGUUUGAACUUCAGUUUUUGUGUUUGUUGAACUUUAGUUUAUGUUGUGUUUGAACUUGAGUUUUUGUUGUAUUUGAAAUUGACUUUGUGUGUUUGUUGAACUUGAGUCUGUGUUGUGUUUGAACUUGAGUUUGUGGUGUUUUUGAAAUUCAGGUUAUGUUGUUUUUUGAACUUGAGUUUGUGGCGUAUUAAUACUUGAGUUUCUGUUGUUUUUGAACUUGAGGUUUUGGAUAUUGUCAAAUUUGAGUUUUGAGUGUUGGUUGAACUUGAGUUUAUGUCGUGUUUGAACUUGAGUUUGUGGUGUGUUUGAACUAGAGUUUGUGUGUUUUUUGAACUUGAGGUUGUGUCAAUUGUUUAACUUGAGAUUUGGGUGUUGGUUGAACUUGAGUUUGUGUUGUUUUUGAACUUGAGUUUGUGGCGUUUCUGAACUUGAGUUGGUGGUGUUUUUGAACUUGAGUUUCAUGUUUGAACUUGAUUUUGUGGUUUUUGUUGAACUUGAGUUUGUGUCGUGUUUGAACUUCAGUUUUCUGUCAAUUGUUGAACUUGGGUCUGGUUUUUGUGAACUUUACUUGGUGGCAAUUGUUGAACUUGAGUUUUUGGUGUUUGUUGAACUUGAGUUUGUGUCAUGUUUGAACUUGAGUUUGUUGUGUGUUUGAACUUGAGUUGGUUUGUUUGAUGAACUUUAGGUUGUGGCAAUUGUUUAACUUGAGAUUUGAGUGUUGGUUCAACUUGAGUUCGUGGCGUGUUUGAAGUUGAGUUCUUGUUUGUUGAACUUCAUUUUGUGUGUUUUUUGAAAUUGAGGUUGUGAAAAUUUAUAAACUUGAGAAUCAGGUGUUGGUUGAAAUUGAGUUUGUGUCGUGUUUGAACUUGAGUUUGUGGUGUAUUUGAACUUGAGUUCGUGUGUUUGAUGAACUUGAGUUUGUGUGUUUGUUGAACUUGAGUUUGUGUGUUUGUUGAACUUGAGUUUGUGUCGGUUUGAACUUGAGUUUGUGGUGUUUUUGAACUUGAGGGUGUGUAAUUUGUUUAACUUGAGGUUGUGGCAAUUGUUAAACUUGAGUUUGUGUGUUUGUUGAACUUGAGUUUGUGGUGUUUGAACUCGAGUAUGUGUGUUUGUUGAACUUGAGUUUGUGUUGUGUUUGAAUUUGAGUUUGUGGCGUUUGUUGAACUUGAGUUUGUGGCAUUUGUUGAACUUGAGUUUGUGUGUUUGUUGAACUUGAAAUUGUGGCAAUUGUUUAACUUGAGAUUUGGGUGUUGGUUGAACUUGAGUUUGUGUCGUGUUUGAACUUGAGUUUUUUGUGUUUUUGAACUUGAGUUUGUGUUUUUUUUUAACUUUAGGUUGCAGGGUUUUUGAACUUGAGUUUGUUGAAGUUAAGGUUGUGGCAAUUGUUAAACUUGAGAUUUGGGUGUUGGUUGAACUUGAGUUUUUGCUGUUUUUGAACCUGAGUUUUUGGUGAUUUUGAACUUGAGUUACUGUGUUUGUUGAACUUGAGUUUGUGUUGCAUUUGAACUUGAGUUUGUGUCGUGUUUGAACUUGAGUUUGUGUGUUUUUUGAACUUGAGGUUGUGAAAAUGUUUAAUCUUGAGAAUCAGGUUUUGGUUGAACUUGAGUUUGUGGUUUUUGUUGAACUUGAGUUUGUGUAAAACUUGAGCUUGUGUGUUUUUUGAACUUGAGUCUGUGUUGUAUUUGAGCUGGAGGUUGUGGAAAUUGUUAAACUUGAGAUUUGGGUGUUGGUUGAACAUGAGUGUGUCUGUUUGUUGAACUUGAUUUUUUGUCGUGUUUGAACUUGAUUUUGUGGUGUUUUUGAACUUGAAUUUGCGUGUUUGUUGAACUUGAGUUUGUGUGUUUUUUGAACUUGAGUUUCUGUUGUUUUUGAACUUGAGGUUGUGGAAAUUGUUAAACUUGACAAUAAGGUGUUUUUGGUUGAACUUGAAUUUCUUUGUUUGUUGAACUUGAGUUUGUGUCGUGUUUGAAUUUGAGUUUGUGUUGUUUUUGAAUUUGAGUUUUUAUUAUUGCUUGAACUUGAGAUUUGGGUGUUGGUUGAACUUGAGUUUGUGGUGUUUAUGAACUUGAGGGUGUGUAAUUUGUUGAACUUGAGGUUGUGGCAAUUGUUAAACUUGAGUUUGUGUGUUUGUUGAACUUGAGUUUGUGUUGUUUUUGAACUUGAGUUUGUGGCGUUUCUGAACUUGAGUUGGUGGUGUUUUUGAACUUGAGUUUCAUGUUUGAACUUGAUUUUGUGGUUUUUGUUGAACUUGAGUUUGUGUCGGUGUGAACUUCAGUUUGUGGUGUUUUUUAACUUGAGUUUGUGGUUUUUUUGAAGUUGAGAGUGUGGAAUUUGUUGAACUUGAGGUUGUGGCAAUUGUUAAACUUGAGUUUGUGUUUUAGUUGAACUUGAGUUUGUGUCGUGUUUGAACUUGAGUUUUUGUGUUUUUUGAACUUAAGUUUGUGUUGUUUUUGAACAUGAGUUUGUUUCAUGUUUGAACUUGAGAUUGUGGCGUUUGUUGAACUUGAGAUUGUGGCGUUUGUUGAACUUGAGUUUGUGUGUUUGUUGAACUUGAGGGUGUGGCAAUUGUUAAAUUUUAGAUUUGGGGGUUGGUUGAACUUGAUUUUUUGUUGUUUUUGUACUGGAGUUUGUGGUUUUUUUGAAGUUGGGGGUGUGGAAUUUGUUGAAUUUGAGGUUGUGGCGAUUGUUUAACUUGAGUUUGUGUUUUAGUUGAACUUGAGUUUGUGUCAUGUUUGAACUUCAGUUUUUGUGUUUGUUGAACUUUAGUUUAUGUUGUGUUUGAACUUGAGUAUUUGUUGUAUUUGAAAUUGACUUUGUGUGUUUGUUGAACUUGAGUUUGUGUUGUGUUUGAACUUGAGUGUGUGUCAUGUUUGAACUUUAGUUAGUGGUGUUUUCGAACUUGAGUUUGUGUCGUGUUUGCACUUGAGUUUGUGGUGUUUUUGAACUUGAUUUGGUGUGUUUGUUGAACUUGAGUUUGUGGUCUUUUUGAACUCGAGUUGGUGGUGAUUUUGAACUUGAGUUUCGUGUUUGAACUUGAGUUUGUGGUUUUUGUUUAACUUGAGUUUGUGUCGUGUUUGAACUUGAGUUUGUGGUGUUUUUGAACUUGAGUUUCGUGUUUGAACUUGAGUUUGUGGUUUUUGUUUAACUUGAGUUUGUGUCGUGUUUGAACUUGAGUUUGUGGUUUUUGUUUAACUUGAGUUUGUGUCGUGUUUGAACUUGAGUUUGUGUGUUUUUUGAACUUGAGGUUGUGAAAAUGUUUAAUCUUGAGAAUCAGGUUUUGGUUGAACUUGAGUUUGUGGUUUUUGUUGAACUUGAGUUUGUGUAAAACUUGAGCUUGUGUGUUUUUUGAACUUGAGUCUGUGUUGUAUUUGAGCUGGAGGUUGUGGAAAUUGUUAAACUUGAGAUUUGGGUGUUGGUUGAACAUGAGUGUGUCUGUUUGUUGAACUUGAUUUUUUGUCGUGUUUGAACUUGAUUUUGUGGUGUUUUUGAACUUGAAUUUGCGUGUUUGUUGAACUUGAGUUUGUGUGUUUUUUGAACUUGAGUUUCUGUUGUUUUUGAACUUGAGGUUGUGGAAAUUGUUAAACUUGACUAUAAGGCGUUUUUGGUUGAACUUGAAUUUCUAUGUUUGUUGAACUUGAGUUUGUGUCGUGUUUGAAUUUGAGUUUGUGUUGUUUUUGAAUUUGAGUUUUUAUUAUUGCUUGAACUUGAGAUUUGGGUGUUGGUUGAACUUGAGUUUGUGGUGUUUAUGAACUUGAGGGUGUGUAAUUUGUUGAACUUGAGGUUGUGGCAAUUGUUAAACUUGAGUUUGUGUGUUUGUUGAACUUGAGUUUGUGUCGUGUUUGAACUUGAGUUUGUGUGAUUGUUGAACUUGAGGUUGUGGCAAUUGUUUAACUUGAGAUUUGGGUGUUGGUUGAACUUGAGUUUGUGUUGUUUUUGAACUUGAGUUUGUGGCGUUUCUGAACUUGAGUUGGCGGUGUUUUUGAACUUGAGUUUCAUGUUUGAACUUGAUUUUGUGGUUUUUGUUUAACUUGAGUUUGUGUCGUGUUUGAACUUCAGUUUGUGGUGUUUUUUAACUUGAGUUUGUGGUUUUUUUGAAGUUGAGAGUGUGGAAUUUUUUGAACUUCAGUUUAUGGCAAUUGUUAAACUUGAGUUUGUGUUUUAGUUGAACCUGAGUUUGUUUCGUGUUUGAACUUGAGUUUGUGGUGUUUUUAAACAUGACUUUGUGGUAUUUUUAAAUUUGAAGGGGUAGAAUUUGUUGAACUUGAGGUUGUGGCAAUUGUUAAACUUGAGUUUGUGUGUUUGUUGAACUUGAGUUUGUGUCGUGUUUGAACUUGAGUUUGUGUGUUUUUUGAACUUGAGGUUGUGAAAAUGUUUAAUCUUGAGAAUCAGGUUUUGGUUGAACUUGAGUUUGUGGUUUUUGUUGAACUUGAGUUUGUGUAAAACUUGAGCUUGUGUGUUUUUUGAACUUGAGUCUGUGUUGUAUUUGAGCUGGAGGUUGUGGAAAUUGUUAAACUUGAGAUUUGGGUGUUGGUUGAACAUGAGUGUGUCUGUUUGUUGAACUUGAUUUUUUGUCGUGUUUGAACUUGAUUUUGUGGUGUUUUUGAACUUGAAUUUGCGUGUUUGUUGAACUUGAGUUUGUGUGUUUUUUGAACUUGAGUUUCUGUUGUUUUUGAACUUGAGGUUGUGGAAAUUGUUAAACUUAACUAUAAGGCGUUUUUGGUUGAACUUGAAUUUCUAUGUUUGUUGAACUUGAGUUUGUGUCGUGUUUGAAUUUGAGUUUGUGUUGUUUUUGAAUUUGAGUUUUUAUUAUUGCUUGAACUUGAGAUUUGGGUGUUGGUUGAACUUGAGUUUGUGGUGUUUAUGAACUUGAGGGUGUGUAAUUUGUUGAACUUGAGGUUGUGGCAAUUGUUAAACUUGAGUUUGUGUGUUUGUUGAACUUGAGUUUGUGUCGUGUUUGAACUUGAGUUUGUGUGAUUGUUGAACUUGAGGUUGUGGCAAUUGUUUAACUUGAGAUUUGGGUGUUGGUUGAACUUGAGUUUGUGUUGUUUUUGAACUUGAGUUUGUGGCGUUUCUGAACUUGAGUUGGCGGUGUUUUUGAACUUGAGUUUCAUGUUUGAACUUGAUUUUGUGGUUUUUGUUUAACUUGAGUUUGUGUCGUGUUUGAACUUCAGUUUGUGGUGUUUUUUAACUUGAGUUUGUGGUUUUUUUGAAGUUGAGAGUGUGGAAUUUUUUGAACUUCAGUUUAUGGCAAUUGUUAAACUUGAGUUUGUGUUUUAGUUGAACCUGAGUUUGUUUCGUGUUUGAACUUGAGUUUGUGGUGUUUUUAAACAUGACUUUGUGGUAUUUUUAAAUUUGAAGGGGUAGAAUUUGUUGAACUUGAGGUUGUGGCAAUUGUUAAACUUGAGUUUGUGUGUUUGUUGAACUUGAGUUUGUGUCGUGUUUGAACUUGAGUUUGUGUGUUUUUUGAACUUGAGGUUGUGAAAAUGUUUAAUCUUGAGAAUCAGGUUUUGGUUGAACUUGAGUUUGUGGUUUUUGUUGAACUUGAGUUUGUGUAAAACUUGAGCUUGUGUGUUUUUUGAACUUGAGUCUGUGUUGUAUUUGAGCUGGAGGUUGUGGAAAUUGUUAAACUUGAGAUUUGGGUGUUGGUUGAACAUGAGUGUGUCUGUUUGUUGAACUUGAUUUUUUGUCGUGUUUGAACUUGAUUUUGUGGUGUUUUUGAACUUGAAUUUGCGUGUUUGUUGAACUUGAGUUUGUGUGUUUUUUGAACUUGAGUUUCUGUUGUUUUUGAACUUGAGGUUGUGGAAAUUGUUAAACUUGACUAUAAGGCGUUUUUGGUUGAACUUGAAUUUCUAUGUUUGUUGAACUUGAGUUUGUGUUGUGUUUGAAUUUGAGUUUGUGUUGUUUUUGAAUUUGAGUUUUUAUUAUUGCUUGAACUUGAGAUUUGGGUGUUGGUUGAACUUGAGUUUGUGGUGUUUAUGAACUUGAGGGUGUGUAAUUUGUUGAACUUGAGGUUGUGGCAAUUGUUAAACUUGAGUUUGUGUGUUUGUUGAACUUGAGUUUGUGUCGUGUUUGAACUUGAGUUUGUGUGAUUGUUGAACUUGAGGUUGUGGCAAUUGUUUAACUUGAGAUUUGGGUGUUGGUUGAACUUGAGUUUGUGUUGUUUUUGAACUUGAGUUUGUGGCGUUUCUGAACUUGAGUUGGUGGUGUUUUUGAACUUGAGUUUCAUGUUUGAACUUGAUUUUGUGGUUUUUGUUUAACUUGAGUUUGUGUCGUGUUUGAACUUCAGUUCGUGGUGUUUUUUAACUUGAGUUUGUGGUUUUUUUGAAGUUGAGAGUGUGGAAUUUUUUGAACUUCAGUUUGUGGCAAUUGUUAAACUUGAGUUUGUGUUUUAGUUGAACCUGAGUUUGUUUCGUGUUUGAACUUGAGUUUGUGGUGUUUUUAAACAUGACUUUGUGGUAUUUUUAAAUUUGAAGGGGUAGAAUUUGUUGAACUUGAGGUUGUGGCAAUUGUUAAACUUGAGAUUUGGGUGUUGGUUGAACUUGAGUUUGUGUUGUUUUUGAACUUGAGUUUGUGGCGUUUCUGAACUUGAGUUGGUGGUGUUUUUGAACUUGAGUUUCAUGUUUGAACUUGAUUUUGUGGUUUUUGUUGAACUUGAGUUUGUGUCGGUGUGAACUUCAGUUUGUGGUGUUUUUUAACUUGAGUUUGUGUUUUUUUUGAAGUUGAGAGUGUGGAAUUUGUUGAACUUGAGGUUGUGGCAAUUGUUAAACUUGAGUUUGUGUUUUAGUUGAACUUGAGUUUGUGUCGUGUUUGAACUUGAGUUUUUGUGUUUUUUGAACUUAAGUUUGUGUUGUUUUUGAACAUGAGUUUGUUUCAUGUUUGAACUUGAGAUUGUGGCGUUUGUUGAACUUGAGAUUGUGGCGUUUGUUGAACUUGAGUUUGUGUGUUUGUUGAACUUGAGGGUGUGGCAAUUGUUAAAUUUUAGAUUUGGGGGUUGGUUGAACUUGAUUUUUUGUUGUUUUUGUACUGGAGUUUGUGGUUUUUUUGAAGUUGGGGGUGUGGAAUUUGUUGAAUUUGAGGUUGUGGCGAUUGUUUAACUUGAGUUUGUGUUUUAGUUGAACUUGAGUUUGUGUCAUGUUUGAACUUCAGUUUUUGUGUUUGUUGAACUUUAGUUUAUGUUGUGUUUGAACUUGAGUUUUUGUUGUAUUUGAAAUUGACUUUGUGUGUUUGUUGAACUUGAGUUUGUGUUGUGUUUGAACUUGAGUGUGUGUCAUGUUUGAACUUUAGUUAGUGGUGUUUUCGAACUUGAGUUUGUGUCGUGUUUGCACUUGAGUUUGUGGUGUUUUUGAACUUGAUUUGGUGUGUUUGUUGAACUUGAGUUUGUGGUCUUUUUGAACUCGAGUUGGUGGUGAUUUUGAACUUGAGUUUCGUGUUUGAACUUGAGUUUGUGGUUUUUGUUUAACUUGAGUUUGUGUCGUGUUUGAACUUGAGUUUGUGGUGUUUUUGAACUUGAGUUUGUGUCGUGUUUGCACUUGAGUUUGUGGUGUUUUUGAACUUGAUUUGCUGUGUUUGUUGAACUUGAGUUUUUGGUCUUUUUGAACUUGAGUUGGUGGUGAUUUUGAACUUGAGUUUGUGGUAUUUCUGAAGUUGAGGGUGUGGAAUUUUUUUAACUUGAGGUUGUGGAAAUUGUUAAACUUGUGUGUUAUUUGAACUCUAGUUUGUGCCGUGUUUGAACUUGAGUUUGUGGUGUUUGUUGAACUCUAUUUUUUGUGUUUGUUGAACUUGAGUUUCGUGUUUGAACUUGAGUUUUUGGUUUUUGUUGAACUUGAGUUUGUGUCGUUUUUGAACUUGAGUUUCUGGUUUUUUGAAGUUGAGGGUGUGGAAUUUGUUGAACUUGAUGUUGUGGGAUUUUUUGAACUUGAGUUUGUGUUUAAGUUGAACUUGAGAUUGUGUCGUGUUUGAACUUGAGUUUUUGUGUUUGUUGAACUUAAGUUUGUGUUGUUUUUGAACAUGAGUUUGUUUCAUGUUUGAACUUGACUUUGUGGCUUUUGUUGAACUUGAGUUUGUGUGGUUGUUUAACUUGAGGUUGUGGCAGUUGUUAAGCUUGAGAUUUGGUUGUUGGUUGAACUCUAGUUUGUGUCGUGUUUGAACUUGAGUUUGUGGUUUUUGUUGAACUUGAGUUUGUGUUUUUUGUUGAACUUGAGUUUGUGUGUUUUUUGAACUUGAGUUUCUGUUGUUUUUUAACUUAAUGUUGUUGAAAUCUUUAAACUUGAGAAUUGUGUAUUGUUUGAUCUUUAGUUUGUGUGUUUGUUAAACUUGGGUUUGUGUCGUGUUUGAACUUGAGUUUGUGAUGUUUUUGAACUUGAGGUUGUGGAGAUUUUUUAUCUUGAGAAUUGGGUAUUGGUCGAACUUGAGUUUUUGUUGCUUUUUAACUUGAGUUUGUGACGUGUUUAAACUUAGGUUUUGGUGUGUUUUAACUUGAGUUUGUGUGUUUGUUGAACUUGAGGAUGUGGCAAUAGCUAAACUUAAGAUUUGGGUGUUGGUUGAAUUUGAGUUUGUGUCAUGUCUGAACUUGAGUUCAUGAUGUUUGUUUAACUUUAUUUUGUGUGUUUUUUGAACUUGAGGUUUUGAAAAUUUUUAAACUUGAGAAUCAGGUGUUUGUUGAACUUGAGUUUGUGGUUUUUUUUACUUGAGUUUGUGUCGUGUUUUAACUUGAGUUUGUGUUUUUCUUUAACUUGAGGUUGUGGAAAUUGUUAAACUUGAGAAUCUGGUAUUGGUUGAACUUGAGUCAUUGGUGUUUUUGAACUUGAGUUUGUGUCGUGUUUGAACUUGAGUUUGUGGUGUUUUUGACCUUGAAUUUGCGUGUUUGGUGAACUUGAGUUUGUGUGUUUGUUGCACUUGAGGUUGUGGCAAUUUUUAAACUUGAGACUUGGAUAUUGGUUGACCUUGAGUUUGUGUCGUGUUUCAACUUGAGUCUGUGUUCUUUUUGAACUUGAGCUUGUGGAAUUGUAAAACUUGAGAAUCAGGUGUUGGUUGAACUUGAAUUUGUGUUUUUUUUUAAACUUGAGUUUGUGUUGUGUUUGAACUUGAGUAUGUUGUGUAUUUGAACUUCAGUCUGUGUUGUUUUUGAACUUGAGGUGGUGGAAAUUGUUCAACUUGAGAAAGUGGGUAUUGGUUGAACUUGAGUUUAUAUUGUUUUUGAACUUGUGUUUGUGGUGUGUUUGAACUUGAGAUUGUGUGUUAUUUGAACUUGAGGUUGUUAAAAUUUUUAAACUUGAGAAUCAGGUGUUGGUUGAACUUGAGUUUGUGGUUUUUGUUGAACUUGAGUUUGUGGUGUGUUUGAACUUGAGAUUGUGUGUUAUUUAAACUUGAGGUUGUGAAAAUUUUUAAACUUGACAA